rnacentral:rRNA from 1 species
AACGUAGGUGGCAAGCGUUAUCCGGAUUUACUGGGCGUAAAGGGUGUGCAGGCGGGGUUGCAAGUGGGGUAUGAAAUCUCCCGGCUUAACCGGGAGGGGUUAUGCCAGACUGCAAUUCUAGAGGACGAGAGAGGGGGGUGGAAUUCCGGGUGUAGUGGUGAAAUGCGUAGAGAUCCGGAGGAACCCCAGAGGCGAAGGCGGCGACCUGGGUAGAUACUGACGCUGAGGUGCGAAAGCGUGGGGAGCGAACAGG